UGGCUAAAUGUUCUAUAUAGCUGGUAAUAUUCGACGGAAUAAAGAAUUAAACAAUUGGAACGAUACUUGUUUGUUUAUGCUACUGUUGUAUGAGCAAAAGUGCCUUGUGCGUCUGCCUACAGUGGCUUCAAGUGACAUUAAAGUCGAGACACAGAGUCUGCAGAGUUGCGAUGCCAAAACGACCAGCGGCGCCCUUUGGCGCAGUUGUGGCCCACUACUCCGCCCCCAGAAGAAGAAUUUCAUUGAAAAACAAUCGAAAAGGGAAGAAGAAGAACAGACCCUGGACUGGUGGUGGGGGUGGAACAGCUGUUCGUCUGGAAACGGCAUUUGGACACUGGCUUCUGGUGCGUGUGCCGUGGGGAAUAGGGCCUUUUUCACCUCCGCCUGUACCAUCCUGCUGUUCUCGCCAGGAGCCAGGAGCACAUUGGGCCGCAUCUCGACCGAGUACAAGAAGGGGGACGGAACGACGACGACGAGCGGAUACCCUUCGUGCGAUGCGCACGCCCUAAACGUGUCGGUGGCGGAGCGGUGCAUCUACUGACCAGCAACAUCUACUGGUCCGAUACGGAGGCUCAUCUCAUCGAGGUCGCCCGCCUGGAUGGCAGCAGUCGGCGUGUGCUCUUGUGGAAGGGGGUGGAGAAGCCGCGUUCCCUGGUCCUCGAGCCGCGUCGCGGGUACAUGGACAGAGUCGCCUCGGACUCCAUACGCCGCGCCACGAUGGGCGAAUCCGAGCUGCAAUCAUGGCCGGGAGCUUAUAUUCGACCAGGAGACGAGACGCCUCUACUGGAUGGCAAGAAGCGUCGGAUACUGGUUGGCAGCUAGGACUACGUGUACUGGAGCGACUGGAGCACCGGGGAUAUUGAUCAAGACGGGCCAGAGCCGCAGCCUCGCCAAGGACGUGCCCUGCAUCCGCCCAGCUACGCCAGACUGCCAGAAUGUGUCGUUGCCGGUGUCCGGCAAGAAUAUCCGUGCCGAGGUGAAGCUCUCUCAAGUAUUCAGCUCUGAUCUAAAACGUUGCCUCUUUUAGCUUCUUGGGCGAACUCGCAGAAGCCUCGCAACAUUGCCGUGCAUGCCAUGAAGACGAGACGUCUGCUCUUCUCGACAGAUGUCGGCAGCCAUGAGACCAUCAUUUGGGCCCGAGUCGAUGGCAAUGAGGGUGUGGACCAACAGUACGAAGAAGUUAUAGACAUCAAUGAAAAGAACAAAAAAACCCUUACUUCCAUGCAGGGGGAUUUAUGUACUGGCUGGACGACAAGACCGGACUGGAGAGGAUCACUGUCAACGGAGAGCGUCGUUCCGUGAUAUUCUUCUCGCAGGGAAGCACGCAGUCAAGCACUCUCUUUUAAAGACCUUAAAUAUGCUAUAGAGAACCUGCCGGAUAUUGCAUUUGAGGUUCAACGCGACCAAGCUGCGGAUGAAGAUGGAGCGAAAAGACUCUGGACGAGUGUGCUAGGUUACCACUACCACAAUGCAUUCUACAAGGACAAAUGUGUAGUUGGCGUGUAUUAACAUAUAAAGAAAUGAGUUUAGUGGAAA
rnacentral:misc_RNA from 1 species